UCUCCACGUUAUAACUCCCUCCCAUGUGGAUAAAAACAGAUCUGUGAUGGUGGAAAUUCACACUGGAUGCACUGGGACCUCUGAGUUGCUCAACCCAACAUUCCUGACAGGUGAAUCCUUGCACAGCUGUUUUGGUGAAACACAAGCCACCAGGAGAAGAAGUUUUUCUUGCUGAGCCCCAAAUCACCCCACAGGGACCACACCACACCACGUAAGAUCCACCAUCCCAUUCCCAAGGCUGACUGCGGGGCCGUGGUGUCUCCUGCCUGGAAGAAAUUCCCACAUUUCACCUGGAUGCUCCUUCUCCUCAAGAAGCAACAUUUCUUUUCUUAUUUGGAAUUGGAGCCAUUCCUUGCCUGGGGGCUCCUUUAUUUCAUUGGGAGAAACAUUUUGAGUGACUUCUCAGUGGGUUUUGGAUGACUGAUGUCAAUUUUUUGAUGGACACCUUCCCCUGCUGAUGGAGUUUUCCCCCUUUUUUUAUCCUUCAUAUGAAGUGGUUUGACAACUCUGUUCACCUCUUCCUUUGUGAUUUGCUGAAAUUUAUGACAGGAGGAAUUGGA